ACGGAAGGCAGCAGUGGGGAAUAUUGCACAAUGGGCGAAAGCCUGAUGCAGCUAUGCCGCGUGUAUGAAGAAGGCCUUAGGGUUGUAAAGUACUUUCAUCGGGGAGGAAAAAACAAAACUAAUAAUUUUAUUUCUUGACGUUACCCGAAAAAGAAGCACCGGCUAACUCCGUGCCAGCAGCCGCGGUAAUACGGAGGGUGCUAGCGUUAAUCAGAAUUACUGGGCGUAAAGAGCACGUAGGUGGUUUUUUUAAAGUCAGAUGUGAAAUCCCUGGGCUUAACCUGGAACUGCAUUUUGAAACUGAAAUACUAGAGUAUCGUAGAGGGAGGUAGAAUUCUAGGUGUAGCGGUGAAAUGCGUAGAUAUCUGGAGGAAUACCUGUGGCGAAAGCGGCCUCCUAAACGAAUACUGACACUGAGGUGCGAAAGCGUGGGGAGCAAACAGGGAUUAGAUACC
rnacentral:rRNA from 1 species